rnacentral:rRNA from 1 species
GAUGAACGCUGGCGGCGUGCCUAAUACAUGCAAGUCGAGCGAACGGACGAGAAGCUUGCUUCUCUGAUGUUAGCGGCGGACGGGUGAGUAACACGUGGAUAACCUACCUAUAAGACUGGGAUAACUUCGGGAAACCGGAGCUAAUACCGGAUGAUAUUUUGAACCGCAUGGUUCAAAAGUGAAAGACGGUCUUGCUGUCACUUAUAGAUGGAUCCGCGCUGCAUUAGCUAGUUGGUAAGGUAACGGCUUACCAAGGCAACGAUGCAUAGCCGACCUGAGAGGGUGAUCGGCCACCCUGGAACUGAGACACGGUCCAGACUCCUACGGGAGGCAGCAGUAGGGAAUCUUCCGCCAUGGGCGAAAGCCUGACGGAGCAACGCCGAGUGAGUGAUGAAGGUCUUCGGAUCGUAAAACUCUGUUAUUAGGGAAGAACAUAUGUGUAAGUAACUGUGCACAUCUUGACGGUACCUAAUCAGAAAGCCACGGCUAACUACGUG